rnacentral:rRNA from 1 species
AACGAACGCUGGCGGCAGGCCUAACACAUGCAAGUCGAGCGAUGACUUCGGUCCUAGCGGCGGACGGGUGAGUAACGCGUGGGAACGUGCCCUUUGCUACGGAAUAGCCCCGGGAAACUGGGAGUAAUACCGUAUGUGCCCGAGAGGGGAAAGAUUUAUCGGCAAAGGAUCGGCCCGCGUUGGAUUAGGUAGUUGGUGGGGUAAUGGCCUACCAAGCCGACGAUCCAUAGCUGGUUUGAGAGGAUGAUCAGCCACACUGGGACUGAGACACGGCCCAGACUCCUACGGGAGGCAGCAGUGGGGAAUCUUAGACAAUGGGGGAAACCCUGAUCUAGCCAUGCCGCGUGAGCGAUGAAGGCCUUAGGGUUGUAAAGCUCUUUCAGUGGGGAAGAUAAUGACGGUACCCACAGAAGAAGCCCCGGCUAACUCCGUGCCAGCCGCCGCUGUAAUAC